AUGGCCAAGGCAAACCCCUCAUAUUACCAAACCACCGCUCCGGUUAGCGCACCGGUCCAGUACCAGGAACAUCUCUUCCACCUGUUCGUGCAUCAGCAGCUCGAAGCAACAAAUGGUGCUAACCAGCUCAUUACAGUGAACCCAAAGCUUCCCCAGGGGUUCGGUGUCACCGUUGCUACUGACUGGGACAUCCGCGAUGGUCCCGACACCACGGCAAAGGUUGUUGCGCGUGCACAAGGCCUGCAUCAAGGGUCCGGCAAGAGCAGCGGAGCCUGGUUUAUGUCGUUCAACACAGUGUUCACCGAUGAGAGGUUUAAGGGGUCCUCCCUCAGUGUGCAAGGGCAUUUGGUUUCUGACGAAGGUGAAUGGGUAGUCACGGGUGGGACUGGCGAGUUCGCUUUUGCACAAGGUGUGGUCACCUACAAGAAAAUCAAGGAAUUGGCAGGCGGAAACAUCAGAGAGCUUCGUUUCCGUGUUGUGUGCUUCAACUUCCCAAAGCCGAACACCCUUACAAAGGUUGGGCCGUGGGGUGGGAAUGGAGGGACACCAUUUGGGCCGUGGGGCGGGAAUGGAGGGAUACCAUUUGAAAUCACAGAGGCAGAGCAACCUCAGCGUCUAGAAAGUGUCACAAUUCAGAGUAACGAAGUUAUUGAUGCCAUUGCCUUCACCUACAUCGGUCAAGGCGGUGCAAGGCGGACUGUCGGUCCAUUUGGUGGUGGCGGCGGGGUCAAGCAGCCGAUCGUGCAGCUUGGUCCUUCAGAGACCGUGAAGGAAAUAUUUGGCACAACCGGCAACUUUCAAGGAUCGAAUGUUGUCACAUCACUUUCCAUUGUCACCAAUGUUAAGACAUAUGGACCAUUCGGAAAACAAUCCAACGGUACUACUCCUUUCCGUACCACUGCGCCAGACAAGCACAGCAUUGUGGGCUUCUACGGGCGGUCUGGGCAAUUUGUUGAUCAGCUUGGAGCUUAUGUGCGCCCAACCCCAAAUUAG
rnacentral:rRNA from 1 species